UACGUAGGGUGCGAGCGUUAAUCGGAAUUACUGGGCGUAAAGCGUGCGCAGGCGGUUUGUUAAGACAGGUGUGAAAUCCCCGGGCUUAACCUGGGAAUGGCGCUUGUUACUGGCAGGCUAGAGUGUGUCAGAGGGAGGUAGAAUUCCACGUGUAGCAGUGAAAUGCGUAGAGAUGUGGAGGAAUACCGAUGGCGAAGGCAGCCUCCUGGGAUAACACUGACGCUCAUGCACGAAAGCGUGGGGGGCAAACAGG
rnacentral:rRNA from 1 species